GACGUAGGGCGCGAGCGUUGUCCGGAUUUAUUGGGCGUAAAGAGCUCGUAGGCGGCUUGUCGCGUCGUCCGUGAAAACCCACGGCUCAACUGUGGGCUUGCAGUCGAUACGGGCAGGCUAGAGUUCGGUAGGGGAGACUGGAAUUCCUGGUGUAGCGGUGAAAUGCGCAGAUAUCAGGAGGAACACCGGUGGCGAAGGCGGGUCUCUGGGCCGAUACUGACGCUGAGGAGCGAAAGCGUGGGGAGCGAACAGG
rnacentral:rRNA from 1 species